GCCCUGGUGCUGGAACUGGUAGACAGGCAUGAUUCAGGGUCAUGUAUUCGCAAGAGUGUGGGAGUUCAAGUCUCCCCCAGGGCA
rnacentral:tRNA from 1 species